CCUACGGGAGGCAGCAGUGGGGAAUCUUGCGCAAUGGGCGAAAGCCUGACGCAGCAACGCCGCGUGCGGGAAGAAGGCCUUCGGGUUGUAAACCGCUUUCAGAAGGAACGAAAAUGACGGUACUUUCAGAAGAAGGUGCGGCCAACUACGUGCCAGCAGCCGCGGUGACACGUAGGCACCAAGCGUUGUCCGGAUUUAUUGGGCGUAAAGAGCUCGUAGGCGGUUCGGUAAGUCGGGUGUGAAAACUUUGGGCUCAACCCAAAGCGUGCAUUCGAUACUGUCGUGACUAGAGUUCGGUAGGGGAGCGGGGAAUUCCUAGUGUAGCGGUGAAAUGCGCAGAUAUUAGGAGGAACACCGGUGGCGAAGGCGCCGCUCUGGGCCGAAACUGACGCUGAGGAGCGAAAGCGUGGGUAGCAAACAGGAUUAGAUACCCUGGUAGUCCACGCCGUAAACGUUGGGCACUAGGUGUGGGUCUCAACCAACGAGAUCCGCGCCGUCGCAAACGCAUUAAGUGCCCCGCCUGGGGAGUACGGCCGCGAGUAAACGUUAAAGUAAGUAGACGGCGNGAGACGUGCCGAACGGAACGACGACGAGGGGAGUAGG
rnacentral:rRNA from 1 species